GCGCGGGUGGUGAAAUGGCUAUACACGCCACCUUGAGGUGGUGGUGCCCGCAAGGGCGUGGAGGUUCGACUCCUCUCCCGCGCA
rnacentral:tRNA from 1 species